rnacentral:lncRNA from 1 species
AAGAACAAAGGAAGAAAAGAAGAACACAAACCCUAGGUGGAAAAAUUCAAGGGAAAAGUGUGAAAAUUCAAGUAAUCAAGCAAUCAAAGGUAAAAUUUCUUGAUUUUGACUUGUGAUCUACCUUUCCCAUGCAUUAUUUUACAUUUUCCAUGGUUGAAUCACAAGAUAUCAUGAAGGAUUCAUGGCUGACCGAAUUUAGAGAGAGAAGAUUUGAUGGUUGUUUUGGUUAGAUUUUAAGAUAUUCUAGUGUUUUAGUUAGUUAGUGAUGUGUAGCAUGAAAUCAAACAAGAAAAAUUCAUUUUCUCCCAUAACCCAUCAUUGGCCGAAUUCUCCAUGUAGAAUAUUGAUGAUGAUUUUGAUUUUAUUUCAAGUGAUUUGGUUACGAAUUAGUGAUUUGUGGUCUAAGUGAUUUUAUUUUAUUGCAUCCCAUUUCAUACAUUAGUAUAAAGCCUGAAUUGGUUUUAUAACAAUUUAGCACAAUGUAGUAAAUGGCUUAUUGUGCAUUAUGUUUAGGUGGUGAGCAUUCUGGCAAAAGUAAAGAGAUAGUACCCGAGGAAUCAAGAAUCGGAGUACUUGGAAUUCGACUCCCGAAAUAGUGAGUAAUCUUACUAUCGUCUUAAUUAUCUAGAGUGGUUUUUAUCCGAUUUUGUGAUUUUAUGGAAAAUGAGUUUAAAUGGUAAAUUUUUAGAUUUUAUAAACAAAAUGUGUUUAAAUGAAAUGAUUUUAUAAAAUUGUCUUGAAAUUGAAUGAUAAUUUUGAAAAAUGGAGUAAUUGGAGACUAAUUGUUGUGUUGUAAAUUAUGGUUUGAAUUGAAUGGCUUAUGAUAAUGUGGGCAUGAGUGGCUGGAUUUGGUAAAUGUGCUGAAAAUGUAUGAAUUGUUGUUUUGCCUUGACAUGUUGUGUUGUAAAAUAAUUGCCACGUCAUGCUGUUGGAAUUUUAUUGAUUUGGUGGAUAUCAAUUAGCUUACUGCAGUGGGCAGGUUUUCGUGGACCAACCUAUUAGAAAGGCACGGUAAACCCCAUUAUAUCUUACCUCAGUAUGAGAGGCGUGGAUGGAUAACUCCUGAGGUUAACACUUUAGAAUUCACUUCACGUCAAACCACCUCGUGAUGAUGAACUCCGCUAACGCCAAGGAACGGCUAUGUUUUUAAAAUAAAAACAUGAUUUAUGCGUACAUAACUUUUUACCAGCCUUGGCGGACUCGGUUGGGAUAGCCCUCGAUCAAGGCUUCCCUGAUAACUGGGUAUGAAAAUGAUUUUUGGCACGAGCCAAAGUUUUAAGAAAUUCAUAAGCCAUGUUUGAUUACUCGAUUUAUAGGAAUUGAUUUUAUUUGAUUGAAAUGAGUUGAAAAGUGAUGAAUUACAGUAUAUUAAACUGUUUUAUCUAUCUCCAUUUACUCGGCUUUAGAUAUUUUAGGUGGUAUUUGUUUACUCACUGGGAUUAUAUAAUCUCACCACCCUCUUUUCCAACCAUUUCAGGCUUAGGAUAGUCUAUAGAUAACUAAUUUCAUCGAGGACCACCAUUGGAUUUGCAUCCUCCAAACUGUAGGUUCACAAUUUUUCUUACUUUUGGUUGUUUGAGGGCCCACUUGUUACUGUAAAUUAAAUUAAAUACUCUGGCUUAUUGUAUUACGAUAUAUAUGAAUUUAUUUUGCUUUUACGUUGUAAAAAUUAUUUAUGUAGUGUUCUAAAA